rnacentral:rRNA from 1 species
AAAAAAAGCCCAGUAGCGAGUUGACAUGGUGCCCGUACCCCAAACCAACACAGGUGGACAGGUAGAGCAUACCAAGGCGAGUGGGAUAACUAUGGUUAAGGAACUCGGCAAAUUUCCUCCGUAACUUCGGGAUAAGGAGGACCCCAGUAGCGUGACGAGACUUGCUCUCCGAGCGUGAAGGGGUGGCACAAAAUUGAGGGAAGCGACUGUUUACCAAAAACACAGCAGCGUGCUAAGCCGUAAGGCGCUGUAUACGCUGUGACUCCUGCCCGGUGCUGGAAGGUUACGGGGAUGGGUUAGUCCUUUGGGACGAAGCUCUGAACCUAAGCCCCAGUAAACGGCGGCCGUAACUAUAACGGUCCUAAGGUAGCGAAAUUCCUUGUCGGGUAAGUUCCGACCUGCACGAAUGGAGUAACGACUUCCCUACUGUCUCAACCAUAGACCCAGCGAAAUUGAAGUACGAGUAAAGAUGCUCGUUAGCUGCAGAAGGACGGAAAGACCCCGUGGACCUUUACUAUAACUUGAUGUUGUGUUUUGUCAUAUGUUGUGUAGGAUAGGUGGGAGACAAGGAAGCAUGGACGCUAGUCUGUGUGGAGUCAUCGUUGAAAUACCACCCUGCAUAUGGUGAGGCUCUAACCUAGACCCGUUAUCCGGGUUGGGGACAGCGUCAGGCGGGUAGUUUAACUGGGGCGGUUGCCUCCUAAAGAGUAACGGAGGCGCCCAAAGGUUCCCUCAGCCUGGUUGGCAAUCAGGCGUCGAGUGCAAUGGCAAAAGGGAGCUUGACUGCGAGACCUACAAGUCGAGCAGGAGCGAAAGCUGGGCAUAGUGAUCCGGCGGUUGCGUGUGGAAGCGCCGUCGCUCAACGGAUAAAAGGUACCCCGGGGAUAACAGGCUAAUCUCGCCCAAGCGUCCAUAGCGACGGCAAGGUUUGGCACCUCGAUGUCGGCUCAUCGCAUCCUGGGGCUGAAGCAGGUCCCAAGGGUUGGGCUGUUCGCCCAUUAAAGCGGUACGCGAGCUGGGUUCAGAACGUCGUGAGACAGUUCGGUCCCUAUCCUCUGUAGCCGUAGGUGAAUUGAGGAAAGCUGUCCCUAGUACGAGAGGACCGGGACGGACGCAGCUCUCGUGUGCCAGUUGUCCUGCCAAGGGCAUGGCUGGUUAGCGACCUGCGGAAAGGAUAACCGCUGAAAGCAUCUAAGCGGGAAGCCUCUUCCAAGAUGAAUUCACCCACAGGGUUAACCUGGUAAGGCCCGUGGUAGACCACCACGUUGAUAGGCCGGAAGUGUAAGCGUGGCAACACGUUCAGCUGACCGGUACUAAUCGGCCGAGGGCUUGAACU